UACGAAGGGGGCUAGCGUUGUUCGGAUUCAUUGGGCGUAAAGGGUGCGUAGGUGGCGCCGUAAGUCAGGUGUGAAAUUUCGGAGCUUAACUCCGAAACUGCAUUUGAUACUGCGGUGCUUGAGGACUGGAGAGGAGACUGGAAUUUACGGUGUAGCAGUGAAAUGCGUAGAGAUCGUAAGGAAGACCAGUGGCGAAGGCGGGUCUCUGGACAGUUCCUGACACUGAGGCACGAAGGCCAGGGGGAGCAAACGGG
rnacentral:rRNA from 1 species